GGUUUUAUAUAAUCUUUUCUAAAUUAGGAUGAUUUGAUAUGUUUAAUAUUAGUGGUCUUAAAAAAUAAUAAAUUAAAUAUUUAACCAGUAUUGAAACGGUGGAUUAAUUAUAUUUUACUUUUUUAUUAAUGUUGAUUCAAAAACCCGUCACUCCAAAUCUGUCUUGCCAAAAAGCCAUUUAUUUUAUUAAUAUUAAUUUUAUUAAUGAUAUGACUCUGAAUUAUAAUCUAAACAUUUUAGCUAAUAAAUAGGAGUACACCAUAUUUAUUUAAUAGGGGAAUGUACCAUAUGACCCGAAUGCACUUUUACCCAAAUCCACCAAAAAAGUCUUGCAAAAAUACUAUAGAGAUAAGAAACGAUAGUCGGUUUUGAUAGGUAAAAGAUUAGCAAAUAUAUUAGUUAGCUUAAAUUAGUUAAAGAAUACAAAUUGAAAAGGUAUAUUACACUUUAUUCGAAUAUAGUAUCAAAACUUAUAUAACACAGAGAUUUGAUAAUUUUUUAAUUGUUGAAUACUUUUUUUUGUGCUAAUUUUUAUGUGAUUAAGAUUUAAUUGAUUAUA
rnacentral:sRNA from 1 species